AACGAACGCUGGCGGCAUGCCUAACACAUGCAAGUCGAACGAACUCUUCGGAGUUAGUGGCGCACGGGUGCGUAACGCGUGGGAAUCUGCCCUUGGGUACGGAAUAACUCAGAGAAAUUUGUGCUAAUACCGUAUAAUGUCUUCGGACCAAAGAUUUAUCGCCCAAGGAUGAGCCCGCGUAAGAUUAGCUAGUUGGUGAG
rnacentral:rRNA from 1 species